GGUGCUUGCAUCAUGAUUUACAUUUGAGUGAGUGGCGAACUGGUGAGUAACACGUGGGAAACCUGCCCAGAAGCGGGGGAUAACACCUGGAAACAGAUGCUAAUACCGCAUAACAACUUGGACCGCAUGGUCCGAGUUUGAAAGAUGGCUUCGGCUAUCACUUUUGGAUGGUCCCGCGGCGUAUUAGCUAGAUGGUGGGGUAACGGCUCACCAUGGCAAUGAUACGUAGCCGACCUGAGAGGGUAAUCGGCCACAUUGGGACUGAGACACGGCCCAAACUCCUACGGGAGGCAGCAGUAGGGAAUCUUCCACAAUGGACGAAAGUCUGAUGGAGCAACGCCGCGUGAGUGAAGAAGGGUUUCGGCUCGUAAAACUCUGUUGUUAAAGAAGAACAUAUCUGAGAGUAACUGUUCAGGUAUUGACGGUAUUUAACCAGAAAGCCACGGCUAACUACGUGCCAGCAGCCGCGGUAAUACGUAGGUGGCAAGCGUUGUCCGGAUUUAUUGGGCGUAAAGCGAGCGCAGGCGGUUUUUUAAGUCUGAUGUGAAAGCCUUCGGCUCAACCGAAGAAGUGCAUCGGAAACUGGGAAACUUGAGUGCAGAAGAGGACAGUGGAACUCCAUGUGUAGCGGUGAAAUGCGUAGAUAUAUGGAAGAACACCAGUGGCGAAGGCGGCUGUCUGGUCUGUAACUGACGCUGAGGCUCGAAAGUAUGGGUAGCAAACAGGAUUAGAUACCCUGGUAGUCCAUACCGUAAACGAUGAAUGCUAAGUGUUGGAGGGUUUCCGCCCUUCAGUGCUGCAGCUAACGCAUUAAGCAUUCCGCCUGGGGAGUACGGCCGCAAGGCUGAAACUCAAAGGAAUUGACGGGGGCCCGCACAAGCGGUGGAGCAUGUGGUUUAAUUCGAAGCUACGCGAAGAACCUUACCAGGUCUUGACAUACUAUGCAAAUCUAAGAGAUUAGACGUUCCCUUCGGGGACAUGGAUACAGGUGGUGCAUGGUUGUCGUCAGCUCGUGUCGUGAGAUGUUGGGUUAAGUCCCGCAACGAGCGCAACCCUUAUUAUCAGUUGCCAGCAUUAAGUUGGGCACUCUGGUGAGACUGCCGGUGACAAACCGGAGGAAGGUGGGGAUGACGUCAAAUCAUCAUGCCCCUUAUGACCUGGGCUACACACGUGCUACAAUGGAUGGUACAACGAGUUGCGAACUCGCGAGAGUAAGCUAAUCUCUUAAAGCCAUUCUCAGUUCGGAUUGUAGGCUGCAACUCGCCUACAUGAAGUCGGAAUCGCUAGUAAUCGCGGAUCAGCAUGCCGCGGUGAAUACGUUCCCGGGCCUUGUACACACCGCCCGUCACACCAUGAGAGUUUGUAACACCCAAAGUCG
rnacentral:rRNA from 1 species